GACGAGGCCACACAAACGUUAUUCGGAAUUACUGGGCUUAAAGGGUGCGUAGGCGGCGCGGAAAGUUGGGGUGUGAAAGCCCUCGGGCUCAACCGAGGAAUGGCGCCCAAAACUACCGUGCUCGAGGAAGACAGAGGUGAGCGGAACUCAGGGUGGAGCGGUGAAAUGCGUUGGAUAAUCCUGAGGAACACCGGUGGGCGAAAGCGGCUCACUGGGUCUUCUCUGACGCUGAGGCACGAAAGCUAGGGUAGCGAACGGG
rnacentral:rRNA from 1 species